rnacentral:misc_RNA from 1 species
GAUGAAGAACGUAGCGAAAUGCGAUAAGUAAUGUGAAUUGCAGAAUUCAGUGAAUCAUCGAAUCUUUGAACGCACAUAGCGCCCGCCAGUAUUCUGGCGAGCAUGCCUGUUCGAGCGUCAUUUCAACCAUCAAGCCCCAGGCUUGUGUUGGAGCCCUGCGGCUGCCGCAGCCUCCCAAAACCAGUGGCGGGCUCGCUAUCACACCGAGUGCAGUAGUUUACUCUUCGCUCAGGGCGUGUGGCGGGUGCUAGCCGUGAAACCCCCAACUUCUCAAGGUUGACCUCGGAUCAGGUAGGAAUACCCGCUGAACUUAAGCAUAUCAAUAAGCGGAGGA